AAGGCUCGUCCUCCCAGGGUUAGUCGGGACCUAAGCUGAGGCCGAACGGCGUAGGCGAUGGUCAACAGGUUGAUAUUCCUGUACCAGUUUCUUUUGUUUGACCGAUGGAGGGACGCAGCAGGCUAAGAUAUGCCCACUAAUGGAUGUGGGUGCAAAUAAUAAGUCUGGCGAUGAGUCAAAUGCUUAUCGCUAAGGACAAGUUAUGACGCGGAGGGAAGUACAGUACCGAAGUAUCUGACGUCACACUGCCAAGAAAAGCUUCUAGGGAGAAGGCAACUGCCCGUACCGCAAACCGACACAGGUAGUCGAGAUGAGAAUUCUAAGGUGAGCGAGCGAACUCUCGUUAAGGAACUCGGCAAAAUGACCCCGUAACUUAGGGAGAAGGGGUGCUAACGCAAGUUAGCCGCAGU
rnacentral:rRNA from 1 species